CCUUCCCUAAGUUCUCCCAGGGCGCUGCCAGAGCCCUGCCGGCUAAGGGAUGGGGAAACAAACAGGUACUCGGUCCGCUCUUUAAGUCCCCUACGUAUUUUCCGGGAGGGCUGAACGGAACCACAAUGUUUUUCUAGUCUUGGAAAACAUAAGAUCUCUCCAAACCCCACAUUCCCGUCAAAUCCACUUUUCAAAGCAGCCCAGUCUCUCCUGUAUUUUUUUCUUUUUAAUUAAGAUGGGGUCUCGCUCCGUUGCCCAGGCUGGAGUGCAAUGGCACGAUCACGGCUCACUGCAGCCUCGACCUCCCGGAAUUAAGCGAUCUUCUCACCUCCCGAGUAGCUGGGAUUGCAGGCGCGCACCACCUCGCUUGGCUAAUUUUUUAUUUUUUGUAGAGACAUGGUCUUGCUACGUUGCCCAGGCUGGUCCCGAACUCCUGGUCUCAAGUAGUCCUCCCACCUUGGCAUCCCAGAGUGCUGGGAUUAUAGACAUGAGCCACCGCGUCCAGCAAUUAGUCUUUUCUAAACUUCAUAUUGUCUCUACUCCUAUCUACACUUCACCUUUCUUCAGAUCCCUGCCAUCUAUCCUCCAACUCCACCACCAGCUGAUCCGGCACGCUAAAGACCACCAAUGAUUUAAAGGCUGCGAAAUCGUUAAAAUACUACGCUAGCAGGCCCACUAAUGAAUUAGCCUUCUUGUUCACUGACUUCCCAAUACACCUGCUCCAGGAUAUCCCCUGUCAUCCCAAAUGACUCAAGAAUGUGACGCUAUUCCGGAGUGAAGAGUGUUUCUCGGGAUUUCGCGAGCUUUUUUCCUAGAUGCCUCACAGAGCUUGCUGUCCGGCAGUCCAGUUAUGGGUUUGCCAGCACAGUAGUUCAUUGUGAGAAGUGUUUCUAAUGGGUGCUACAGGGCUGCAGAGGCAAGCUUUGGGAAUGCUGUUGGUGCAGCAAGUGCUUCCGGGUGGCGGAUUGCCAUAGCAUAGGGGAAACAACUCCUGGUCUUCCAUUUAAGAGGGUCAUACCUUCACUGUACCUGGGGGAUCUCAAUACUCCAAGUAAAGGAAUCAGCAUGGAAUCAAAUUAUUGAUAAAUGUGAUGCUGCAACCAGAAUGUUGAGCACUGCAUGAUACAGACGAAGUCGAUGUUGUAGGUCAUUAGUAACAUGUGGUAUGGGAGGUUCUGGUUUCUGUAAGUGCAUGGUUUCCAUGGACUUGGAGAUGAUGAUGCCUCUGAGGACAUGUCAUUUAGAGCUGGGCAGACCGCACAGAGAAUUGUGGUACAGAUUGUUGUAACAGUAUGAAGCCCUCUCAUUUGCUGUAUGUACAGCAUGGCCAGUGCUAAUGUGCUCAAUUUCCGUAGGUGGGGCUGUAAUCUCGUAAUUCCCAGUCAAAAGAGGUAGGAAGGGAUGCUGAGGACCCAGGGAUACUGAUGAUUGGGCUGACCCAGAAGUGGCCAUCUUUGUGGAAACCAGGUUGGUUCCCUUGGUUAACUUUUUAAAUGCCCCCAUUCCCAGGGCCAUGAGUAAUUUGAGUUGUUUUUUGUUGUUGUUGUUGUUAUUGUUUGAGAUGGAGUUUCACUCUUGUCACCCAGGCUGGAGUGCAAUGGUGUGAUCUCAGCUCACUGCAACCUCCACCUCCAGGGUUCAAGCAAUUCUACUGCCUCAGCCUCCCGAGUAGCUGGCAUUACAGGCGCAUGCAACCACGCCCAGCUAAUUUUUUGCAUUUUUAGUAGAGACGGGGUUUCACCGUGUUGGCUAGGCUGGUCUCAAACUCCUGAUCUCAGGUCAUCUGCCUGCCUCAGCCUCCCAAAGUGCUGCAAUCACAGGCAUGAGCCACCUGGCCUGUUUUUUAAAAAGCCUAAGCCUGUUGACCCCAGGCUCCACAAUCUUCAAUUUUCCGAGUCUCAGUUUUUUUUUCAUGAGUAAAAUAGAGGUAAUACCUACCUCACAGAGAUUUUGUGAAGAUUAAAUGAAACAGUGUCUGGACCAUAAGUGCCCAAUAUAAAGGUAAAAAUAUUUUUCUUUUUGCGCCUAAUAUGUAGCAUUCUCUUUGCUCCUUCUCUAUGUAAAUGUUAGAUCACUAUUUUCAAGCACUCCUUAAAUACUGAUAUUUCUCAGGUAAUCAUCUUCAGCUCAGGACUGUAUUUACCCUAUCUUAAUUUCACCUAUGGCCUAUACCCUGAUGAUCCCCAAAGCCCUGUAACCAACCCAGGUACUGAUGAGUUUAGAACUGCCCAGCAGCACAACAGACACAUAUUAGAUAUAUCAAGCACCUAAAACAAUAUCCAAAGGAGAAUUAUCUUUUUUUUCUUAAAUCUGUCCCUUCUAUUCCCC
rnacentral:lncRNA from 1 species